rnacentral:lncRNA from 1 species
AAGCGAACCCGGAGAAGGAGGCGAAGCUGCUUACCUGAGCUUGGUCUUAGUCAUUCAUCAGGUAAAGCCGAUGUCAAUCAUCUCUGGCCAGCAAAUGCCCCCAAAAUCAGAGGCAGUUCCACGAACCAGAUACAGGCAAUAGUCGGUGGUCUGUGAGAGAGUUAGAUCUUUGAAAAAGGAAGUGCCGGGAGCCUGCAGAGGCAUCAGAGGGCGUUAAUACGGUUCCUUCAAUAGUUAAUUACUGGGCCCCUGCUUUACAUAAACUAGGCCAGUAAGGGAGAGCUGUGGUCAGAGAGCUGGGGACUACCGAGGUACCCACCCCUCAAGGCAGAUUCCCUGAGAGCUCUUUCCUCUCCUCCCUCUCACUUCUCUCCAUCCCCACAACCCUUGCACACAUCCAGGCUUCACAACGGUGAUGGCAUGGCGUUAUUCCACCGACCCAGAACUAAAUUCCCACAAUCCCUUUGGUCCUACCACCUGGGGCCAGUUUGGCCUGGCCAGGGCUCAGAGAAGACAGAAAGCCACAUAUACCAUCCACCCAGGGUGAGGCCCCGUGAAGAGACUCCAGCACUAGUCUCUCACCUCUUCCCUACUCCUGAAUUAUGUCCAAACCCACAUCAGGAGAGCAAGCUCAGUGCCCUAAGCAGCCCCAUGGCCCCUGGAGUCUCACCCCACCGAGUGGUGAGCACAUGGACAGCUUCAGGACUGAAGAAUAUGCACAUAGAAGAGGUACAUGUGUGUCUGCAGUUAAUAUUACUAACCUUCAACUCUCUUAUGACAUUAGUAUCAUUCCCAUUUUAUAGAUUGAAAAGUUGAGGCUCCGGGUGGCUAAGCAGCCAAAGGUCACUCAGCUAGGAAGAGGCAGAGACUGAAACAGACCCGGGAGUGGGUGACUCUAAGCAGCUGCCUCUCACAGCAGGGCCACAUUGUGCCUUGUGCCAGGCCCUGUGCUGAUGACAGAAAGCGACACUUCCUGCCACCAAGGAGCUCCCAGAGAAGAAGAGGGACAGUCAUAUAACCAAAUAAUUUACACCACAAAACGUGUGACAAAUGCCAAAAUCCCAACAUGUUGGGGCAGGCCCAAGGAUGGAGUGUGUGACCUCCUCAGGCCGGUCAGAGAGGACAGCCCAGAAGAGGACACUUGAGCUGGGCCGGGAGGGGCAGCUUUUCCGGGCUGAGGACAUAAACUUACGCUGGAACAGAUGGCUUGGCGGGGAGUCCUCCGGAGCCGGGCGCAGGGAAGACCAGGGCAGUAGGGAGGGGUGGGGGCGUCUGCACUGUGCAGGGAGGGCCCUGAACUGCCGCCCAGGGAAAGUGCGCCCCACCUCGCCGGUGCGUGACGGGGAGCCAUGCGGCCGUCUGAUCAGCAAAGUGGCCCCGUUUGUACGGAGACAGACAGCAGGAAAACCCUGCUGGCAAGGACUGUUUGGAGCCUUCAACGUGUCCCGAAGGCCGGCACAGCUGGAACCUGCGUCCCCUCCCAGGGCCAGGCUCCGCAGAGCAGAGGGAGCGGAGGGCCCUGAGAGGCGCUUGCGCAGAAAGGCGGAGGAUCACGACUCCCACCUGCUCCAGCAUCCUCCUGUGCCGAGGUCUGUCUGUCCUGGCCUUACCACUGUCCACUCCAUCCUCCAGGAGGAAAUAGGCUGGUAGGGCAGCCAGGCCCUAGCUGGAGGGUGCCGUUCCCUCACAUCCCACGGCGGGCUAUCGUCAGGAGGGACUCUGGGGAGAUCGUCCCAGAGAGGGAGGGAGGACACGUGCAGUCCUAUCGGUACACAGAGGCCAAAAGACGGUCAGUGAGACCAAGAGAGACACUCUUAGGACCCAAGACAGAGAAAGAGACCCAGAAAAGCCCGAAGGAAAAAGGCCAGAGGAGAGCUGGGCCGCCUGCGCCUGCGGCGGGGCGGGGACGGCGGCGAGAAGUGUCUUCCAGCUCCCAGCGCCAUCACCGGCCUCGGCAUCGGGCGCUGAGCAACCAGCCAGCUGGGCUAGGGUCGUCGUCAGGGGACCGGCUGAGGCACCGUGCCAAGCUCUAGCCAUUCCCCCAUCACCACCCUGCGCCCCUGCCGGGGGCGCCGGGACGGAGCUGCGGGGCGAGGAGGCGUCAGGGAUCGGAAUCAGAGGCCUGGGCUCCGAGCGAGGCUGGCCUGGGGAGGGGGACAAGUCAGGGUCUCUUCCUGUGCCUCAGGUGGCUGAACUAGAAUCCAGUCUCGUGCGUUUCCCCUCUGAGGGGGAAAGGGGCGUAAUCCUCGGCCCUGUUGAGAUGGGCGUGCAAACCACGAACUCUAUGACCCGAAAUGAACAUCCACAAGCUUCCGUGCACAUCCCGGCUUCUCGCAGUCCCAGAGCCAUGCGCAGAGCUCGGACCCAGCCCGGAAAACCCGGACGCCCACGAUCCCAGAGGGCUGCUGCUGCGCCCACGCCCGAGCCUAACCGACUGCGCCUGCUCGCCCGCCUCCCCCGGCCGCGGCUUCCCCCGAGAGUCCAGCCGGCUCCCGCCGCCCGGCCCGCCUCCGUCUCAGGAAACGAGGAUCACGCCUCGGGCUCCCGGUCCUGGGCUCGCACGCUCGCUGAGCUCCCGAGAAAGCGUGGGUGCGCUAGCCUGGGGCUGGGGGCCAGGCCGAGGCCCUGGCUGAGGCUCGGUCCCGGCUCCGAGCUGCUCCCCUUUCGCCGCCGCCGCCGCCGCCGCGGAGCUCCUGGAUGUCCCCGCCGGCUCCCGAGCUCCCCGCCGCGGGGACUCGCGGGAGGGUUGGGACUGGGACAGGGGAAAACGCGACAGGGAAACGCUUCUUCCUCGAGGUGAGCCAAGAGGCUAGCGGUGGGGUGGCGGGAGGCCGAAGGCGUCCCUCUCGGCCCCGGUUUCUCCGUCCGGUCCGCGGGAUGAUGGUCACGCUCCGUUCAGGGCGUUUAAGUGAACCCAUGGCAAGAAAGCCCUCGAAGCCACGUUGCCCCGACCGAGCUCCGGGGGUCCCCGUGCCGCGCUAAAGAGCAAAAGGAGCAAAAGAAGCCGCACGGCGCGGGCCUGGGAGCCUGGAAACCCCUUGUUCGACCGCGGAAGAACUCUAACAAACCGCUACGUCUUCGAGGGAGGCAUCCCAUCGCGGCCCACGGGUGCAAGGACUUGAAUUUUCCCCACGUCCACGCUCCGCCCUGAACACAAUGUAAAAGACGAAGAGAACGACUACGGGCCCCACUCCAUCCUCUCGACUCCCUGGAAGAGGGAUGACAGAUAGAGGAUCCCCCACUUCACAGAUGAGGAAACUGAGGCCUAAGAAGGGUAGCGGAGGGUUCGAGGCCGCUGGGUGGAUAAUGAGCCCGCUGGACUCGGAGCCCCUGCUCCAGUGCGCUGCUGCAGUGUGGGCAGGGCUGUGUGACACGGGACCCCUUUGUGGCAGUGUCUUGCUCUGAUGCUCUCUGAAGCCAUCCAGUCCGCUGACCCAGACUGACUGUCCCAGAGUAACCUAGACAGAGGUCACUAUGUUCCCGCUGCACCGGGAGUCUUGGAUCUGAUUUGCAAGAAUGGGGCCUGCAGUUUCCAUUGUCACUAGAGGAUGAACCCUGGAUAUUCGCAUCUUCGUUACUUCGGAAGAAGGAAGCUGGGAGUUUUGCAGAGCGACUGAAAAGCCCCUCUCCAGCCGUUCGAGCACCCCUCCGCUGAGGAAGGUCGGCAUGCGAACGAUGCGACUCCUUCCACCUCGGAUCGGCAGAGCGAGGACCUGGGCUCCUCGCCCCUCUCUUCCGAAGGCAGUUUGCCCAAAGCUUGGCCCCCGCCCACCGCCACGAAGAGCGCAACUAAACCCCCGCAGGCCGAGCCGCCCGCGCCUGGGCGCCUCGCUCCGCCGCGCCCCGCACCCACAGCCCAGCGGGAAGCGGCGUCUCGGCUGGAGCCUCCGGAGUCGGCACCAAGGUCCGGAAUCAGGAGGGAAUCACAAGGGGCCCCCCCGAGAUCCGCACAUGCCCUCCGGCCCCCAAUUCACAGAGGAGAAAACGGAGGCUCCGCGCGGGACAGGGAGCGGCCCGAAGUCUCCCCAGGACUGGCCCAGAGCGAACCCAGGCCAGCCGGGCUACGGCCGCAGGCGGUCUCGGCGAGGCGGGAGUCCCGCCUUCUCCGGGGGCUGGCAGGAAAGGAACUCCGAAACCAAACACCCUCGAAGCAAACGGGUCGGGUCCGCCCGCCCCUUCCCCAGGAAACGCGCCCACUGGGAGUUGGCCACCCGCGCGCGCGCGCGUACACACACACACACACCUCUCACAGCCCUCACGCCUCGCUCUGGAAGGGGCUGCUGCUGCCCCGGGAGUCUGGGGGGCCACUUGGAGCCCUCCACAACCUGCCCGAACUGGAGGAGGGGGUUAUGCGAGAGGGCAGAAGCUCAGUCUUCACCCUCUUUAUCCGUGCGCCACUCUCCAUCGCAUAGAGAGGGGUCCCGUGUCACCCAAAGAGAUGGUGGGAGGUGGGGUGCAGCCUUUCCCUAAACAUCGGCAACGGAAGGACUCUUGAGAUCCGAACCAUCCGUACAGUCGAGGAACCUGGGACCCCAAGAGGAAAAGCGGCGGCCGCGGGCACAUAGCGGGGAAGCGCAGUCCUUAGAGAGACGCAGGUGUGAGCUCCGCGAAGCGGCGAAGUCGCGGGGGGCCAAGUCACCUCCCAUAUCGGGCCUAGGAAUCGAAUGCUGAAAGAUGAGGGACUGCGUGCGGAACGGGCAGGCAGCCUUGACUGGGGUUUGAGAAUCAUCCUGAAAGAUGCUGGGAGCCAGACACCUGGAAACGUCUUCUCCCUUCCCUGUCCCACACCCCAAAAGAACCCAGCGCCCCACAGCCAAUUCCCACCCUCUCCCGACAAACAGUGAAGCGAGCCCUUCCCUUCACCUGCGGGUCCCAGCCCUCGGCAGAGGCUGGAAAAGUCCGGAAGCGCUGAGUUCGGGCGCCGAGGUCUCCCGAGACAGUCCCUGGCCUCUUGGGGCCUCAGUCUCCCCGUCGGCGCGCGGAGGAGGCCGGCCCGGGAGAUCUCCAAGUGCCCUCCUGGCUCUGACAUUGUGGGGCUCCCGCUGCGCCGCCACAGCUGCUCCUACCUGGGGAGGCGCGCCCGGGCCCAGGGGGCGGGCAGUCGGGGGGCGGGAGGGGAACGGGCACCGCCCCGAGCUUCCUGGCGCCUUUAAGGAGGAGAAGCGGGCGGAGGGAGGAGCCGGCCGGGUGUGCGCAGGGGAGCGCCUCGCCAGCGGUCUCGGCGGCUGGAGGCCAACGCUGCGGAGAGGAACGGUCGCCGGCCGCCCCACCUGGCCCGCGCCCCGACCUCGCCGCCCGCGCCUCGCCUGCGCGCCCUCCGCAGCCUGGGCCGCAGGGCCGCGGCCUAGGCGGCCCCCAGCAGAGCGUCCGACGCCUGCACCAACUGCGCGCUCCCCAGGCCUUCGGGCCGCAGCCUCCUCUGCGCGCACGACCUCGACGGUUUUCCUCGGACCAGCCGGGCACCCAGAGCCGCUGCAGUCGCCCCAGCCCGAGGACCGCCUCCGGGCCGCCUGGCACCUGCGCGCCGAGGACCUUUCAGGCCGCGACGGGGGCCUGGUCCCGGUCCCGACGCCGCUGCGGGCGCCUGGCCUCGAGCUCCUGAGCACGAGCGGAGCCGGCGGUGGGCGGGACACUGCCGAGCCUCGGUCGGCCCUGAGCCGGCGCGUAAACCGCGGGCACCCAGGCUCCAGAACGCCCCUGCCCGGGCAGCCGUGCCCUCAGUGCCCGCCCGCGAGGAACCCCUGAGCUCUCCGCACGGGGGUCCAGCUCCCGCUGUCCCCGAGAUCCCGCGUCUCGGGCCCCGCAGGUCCCAGACCCGCCCCGGCCCCUCGACAGCCGCGGCGGCGGGGACGCCCGGGGACGCGGGACGGCUGCGCCAUGACGGCCGAGAGCGGGCCGCCCGCGCCGCCGCAGCCGGAGGCGCUGGCGGCCGUGAAGGAGGAGCGCGGCGAGGCGGGGCCGGGGUCCCGGCGGAGGCGGCGGGGCGCGGCGCGGGCGGGCGGCGGCGCAAGCGCCCCCUGCAGCGCGGGAA